rnacentral:rRNA from 1 species
AUUCCCCCAGUAGCGGCGAGCGAACGGGGAGCAGCCCAGAGCCUGAAUCAGUGUGUGUGUUAGUGGAAGCGUCUGGAAAGGCGCGCGAUACAGGGUGACAGCCCCGUACACAAAAAUGCACAUGCUGUGAGCUCGAUGAGUAGGGCGGGACACGUGGUAUCCUGUCUGAAUAUGGGGGGACCAUCCUCCAAGGCUAAAUACUCCUGACUGACCGAUAGUGAACCAGUACCGUGAGGGAAAGGCGAAAAGAACCCCGGCGAGGGGAGUGAAAAAGAACCUGAAACCGUGUACGUACAAGCAGUGGGAGCACAGAGCAAUCUGUGUGACUGCGUACCUUUUGUAUAAUGGGUCAGCGACUUAUAUUCUGUAGCAAGGUUAACCGAAUAGGGGAGCCGAAGGGAAACCGAGUCUUAACUGGGCGUUAAGUUGCAGGGUAUAGACCCGAAACCCGGUGAUCUAGCCAUGGGCAGGUUGAAGGUUGGGUAACACUAACUGGAGGACCGAACCGACUAAUGUUGAAAAAUUAGCGGAUGACUUGUGGCUGGGGGUGAAAGGCCAAUCAAACCGGGAGAUAGCUGGUUCUCCCCGAAAGCUAUUUAGGUAGCGCCUCGUGAAUUCAUCUCCGGGGGUAGAGCACUGUUUCGGCAAGGGGGUCAUCCCGACUUACCAACCCGAUGCAAACUGCGAAUACCGGAGAAUGUUAUCACGGGAGACACACGGCGGGUGCUAACGUCCGUCGUGAAGAGGGAAACAACCCAGACCGCCAGCUAAGGUCCCAAAGUCAUGGUUAAGUGGGAAACGAUGUGGGAAGGCCCAGACAGCCAGGAUGUUGGCUUAGAAGCAGCCAUCAUUUAAAGAAAGCGUAAUAGCUCACUGGUCGAGUCGGCCUGCGCGGAAGAUGUAACGGGGCUAAACCAUG